rnacentral:rRNA from 1 species
CUCGUAGGCGGUUUGUCGCGUCUGCCGUGAAAUUCUUCGGCUUAACCGAAGGCGUGCGGUGGGUACGGACAGACUAGAGUGUGGUAGGGGAGACUGGAAUUCCUGGUGUAGCGGUGGAAUGCGCAGAUAUCAGGAGGAACACCGGUGGCGAAGGCGGGUCUCUGGGCCACUACUGACGCUGAGGAGCGAAAGCAUGGGGAAGCGAACA